UGUAGAUCACAGAGGAUUUCUGGGAGAUAUUCAUGCAGUUACAUCAGGCUGCUCUCAAGGUUACCCACACCAGCCUUGGUCCCUUCAUCAUACCGACUAUUUGCCAAGACAAUAACUCCAUUUGCUUCAAGAGCACAUGUUAACAAGAUCACUCCCAAGAAAAUGCUUACCGUACGUAUUCACCGGCGUGGAACUGAGCAGACGUUUUUAAUUCAUUCUCUAUGGAAGCUGAGCGACAGGCUCGCACUGGGAAUUGUGGGAUUGACAGAGAAGUGGAACUUGUUGUGAAAGCAUCAAAAAGUUGAGAAAUGCACAACUUCGUGCGAAUAAGAGGUCGGUCUGUCUGCAUCCAUCCAUCCAUCCAUCCAUCCAUCCAUCCAUCCAUCCAUCGCUAUCUGUUUGUCUAUCUAAGAUUAAGCCUCAUUGGUUUUUUUUGUUUGUUUGUUUGUCUUCCUGAUUGGAUGUUUAUAAUGACAGUAUCAUGUGCAUAAUCUCAUUUUCUGUGUCACACAUUAAAAUGAUAUAAUGAUAAUGCAAUUAUUAUGAUGCAAAUGUACUUCAAACAUCAUUCCACUUAUAUGGUUGAUUUACAUAUUGAAAGACAUGAAAGCAAUCCAAUCACGAUGCAGACAUAUUUUGCAUGAUUCUAGCUUACAAGUAAUCACAGUUACCAGCGAUUGUACCAGGUGUGUACAGUAUGUGCCUAUAACUGACUGAGAUUACCCUGUGCUUUAGGAUGCCAGGAAUGUUGGUAAAUGUGUCCAUGUGUGUGUACUGCCUGGAAGAGAUAACUUUCUUUUCCCCUGUUUAUAUUUGAGGUUUUGCCAGCACUUCUAUCUCGGUAAGCACAUGUGGAAAGAUUCCUUGAUUGUGGUCUUACUUCACAGGUUUUAUAAUGACAUGUAAACGAUGUUUCUUCCAGCUGGCUCCUAAGAAAUCUCUUGUCAACUGGGAUCCUUUGUAUUCUAUCUCUCCAUAUGCUCCUCUGUCCCAUCAGGAGGCACACAGAGUGAAGAUAAUUUCCCACAGGCCCUCAAAAAUAAGGUGUCAUCUAUUAUAUUACAGGCAGUUUGUUUUCCAAAUGAUCUAUGAGGAUGAUUGCAGCUAUUUAGCUGGGUUUUGCAUGUUUACAAAUCAUUCCACUUUGAAUCAUCUUGAAUCUUUUGUAUAUGAGCAGUAUUAUACAAACCAGACAAUGGCCAAA